rnacentral:rRNA from 1 species
UACCGGGGCUAAACAUAUUACCGAAGCUGUGGAUUGUCCUUUGGACAAUGGUAGGAGAGCGUUCUAAGGGCGUUGAAGCAUGAUCGUAAGGACAUGUGGAGCGCUUAGAAGUGAGAAUGCCGGUGUGAGUAGCGAAAGACGGGUGAGAAUCCCGUCCACCGAUUGACUAAGGUUUCCAGAGGAAGGCUCGUCCGCUCUGGGUUAGUCGGGUCCUAAGCUGAGGCCGACAGGCGUAGGCGAUGGAUAACAGGUUGAUAUUCCUGUACCACCUAUAAUCGUUUUAAUCGAUGGGGGGACGCAGUAGGAUAGGCGAAGCGUGCGAUUGGAUUGCACGUCUAAGCAGUAAGGCUGAGUAUUAGGCAAAUCCGGUACUCGUUAAGGCUGAGCUGUGAUGGGGAGAAGACAUUGUGUCUUCGAGUCGUUGAUUUCACACUGCCGAGAAAAGCCUCUAGAUAGAAAAUAGGUGCCCGUACCGCAAACCGACACAGGUAGUCAAGAUGAGAAUUCUAAGGUGAGCGAGCGAACUCUCGUUAAGGAACUCGGCAAAAUGACCCCGUAACUUCGGGAGAAGGGGUGCUCUUUAGGGUUAACGCCCAGAAGAGCCGCAGUGAAUAGGCCCAAGCGACUGUUUAUCAAAAACACAGGUCUCUGCUAAACCGUAAGGUGAUGUAUAGGGGCUGACGCCUGCCCGGUGCUGGAAGGUUAAGAGGAGUGGUUAGCUUCUGCGAAGCUACGAAUCGAAGCCCCAGUAAACGGCGGCCGUAACUAUAACGGUCCUAAGGUAGCGAAAUUCCUUGUCGGGUAAGUUCCGACCCGCACGAAAGGCGUAACGAUUUGGGCACUGUCUCAACGAGAGACUCGGUGAAAUCAUAGUACCUGUGAAGAUGCAGGUUACCCGCGACAGGACGGAAAGACCCCGUGGAGCUUUACUGUAGCCUGAUAUUGAAAUUCGGCACAGCUUGUACAGGAUAGGUAGGAGCCUUUGAAACGUGAGCGCUAGCUUACGUGGAGGCGCUGGUGGGAUACUACCCUAGCUGUGUUGGCUUUCUAACCCGCACCACUUAUCGUGGUGGGAGACAGUGUCAGGCGGGCAGUUUGACUGGGGCGGUCGCCUCCUAAAAGGUAACGGAGGCGCUCAAAGGUUCCCUCAGAAUGGUUGGAAAUCAUUCAUAGAGUGUAAAGGCAUAAGGGAGCUUGACUGCGAGACCUACAAGUCGAGCAGGGUCGAAAGACGGACUUAGUGAUCCGGUGGUUCCGCAUGGAAGGGCCAUCGCUCAACGGAUAAAAGCUACCCCGGGGAUAACAGGCUUAUCUCCCCCAAGAGUUCACAUCGACGGGGAGGUUUGGCACCUCGAUGUCGGCUCAUCGCAUCCUGGGGCUGUAGUCGGUCCCAAGGGUUGGGCUGUUCGCCCAUUAAAGCGGUACGCGAGCUGGGUUCAGAACGUCGUGAGACAGUUCGGUCCCUAUCCGUCGUGGGCGUAGGAAAUUUGAGAGGAGCUGUCCUUAGUACGAGAGGACCGGGAUGGACAUACCUCUGGUGUACCAGUUGUCGUGCCAACGGCAUAGCUGGGUAGCUAUGUGUGGACGGGAUAAGUGCUGAAAGCAUCUAAGCAUGAAGCCCCCCUCAAGAUGAGAUUUCCCAACUUCGGUUAUAAGAUCCCUCAAAGAUGAUGAGGUUAAUAGGU